GACGAACGCUGGCGGCGUGCCUAAUACAUGCAAGUAGAACGCUGAAGGAGGAGCUUGCUCUUCUGGAUGAGUUGCGAACGGGUGAGUAACGCGUAGGUAACCUGCCUGGUAGCGGGGGAUAACUAUUGGAAACGAUAGCUAAUACCGCAUAAGAGUAGAUGUUGCAUGACAUUUGCUUAAAAGGUGCAAUUGCAUCACUACCAGAUGGACCUGCGUUGUAUUAGCUAGUUGGUGGGGUAACGGCUCACCAAGGCGACGAUACAUAGCCGACCUGGGAGGGUGAUCGGCCACACUGGGACUGAGACACGGCCCAGACUCCUACGGGAGGCAGCAGUAGGGAAUCUUCGGCAAUGGACGGAAGUCUGACCGAGCAACGCCGCGUGAGUGAAGAAGGUGUUCGGAUCGUAAAGCUCUGUUGUAAGAGAAGAACGAGUGUGAGAGUGGAAAGUUCACGCUGUGACGGUAUCUUACCAGAAAGGGACGGCUAACUACGUG
rnacentral:rRNA from 1 species